GUAGUGGGGGGCGUUGCGAGAAUCGAACUCACGACCUCUCGCACCCAAAGCGAGAAUCAUACCACUAGACCAAACGCCCUGUGUGAACCUUGUUAAACUUUUUGGCGGAUUUGAGAUUCAGUGGUGCGGUCAAGUUUUUUUUCGGCGGCGAUGGCUCAUGCCAGCAAUACUGUUGCUGGAGUUGAUAACACCAUCAGAAGAAAAUUUGACCGAGAGGAGUGUUUGGAACGGCCUCGUGAGCAUGAAAAACAGUGAAAGGAUCGCCAGUGCAGACAAAACCAUUGAAGCAUAGAGAUUACGAUUGGGAAAAACCCAGGUGCAGGAGCGGCUUGAAGUUCUCUAAAAGAGAAAAACGCCAGGAAGCUUCACAGAACAAGGUAAAGCUUAAGAGUUCAGAGCUAGCCAUGCCAUGCCAUGCCUUAUGGAUUGAUGCGCAAGGGAAGAUCGAAACUUGGGCUUCCCAGCCUUCUGGACUGUAAGUUAUGUUUUGAAAGUUUUCAAUGUGAACAAUGAAGAACUGGAAGAGCAUAACAUGGCCUUUCAUAUAUUAUAUACAAGUUUCAUCAUGUCUCAGGAUGAAAUUGGUCCAAGAAAUGAAAGAAAAUAUGCACCUGUUCUUAUUUUUUAGUUUUUUUUUUCAAAGAUUGUCUGUGCACAACCUUUGUGGGAU